rnacentral:rRNA from 1 species
CCUACGGGAGGCAGCAGUGGGGAAUAUUGGACAAUGGGCGAAAGCCUGAUCCAGCCAUGCCGCGUGUGUGAAGAAGGCCUUCGGGUUGUAAAGCACUUUCAGUGGGGAAGAAAGCCUUGGGGCUAAUACCCUCGAGGAAGGACAUCACCCACAGAAGAAGCACCGGCUAACUCCGUGCCACGCAGCCGCGGUAAUACGGAGGGUGCGAGCGUUAAUCGGAAUUACUGGGCGUAAAGCGCGCGUAGGCGGUCUGAUAAGCCGGUUGUGAAAGCCCCGGGCUCAACCUGGGAACGGCAUCCGGAACUGUCAGGCUAGAGUGCAGGAGAGGAAGGUAGAAUUCCCGGUGUAGCGGUGAAAUGCGUAGAGAUCGGGAGGAAUACCAGUGGCGAAGGCGGCCUUCUGGACUGACACUGACGCUGAGGUGCGAAAGCGUGGGUAGCAAACAGGAUUAGAUACCCGGGUAGUC